rnacentral:rRNA from 1 species
GACGAACGCUGGCGGCGUGCUUAACGCAUGCAAGUCGAACGGAAAGGCCCCUUUGGGGGUACUCGAGUGGCGAACGGGUGCGUAACACGUGAGUAACCUGCCCUUGACUUCGGGAUAACUUCAGGAAACUGGGGCUAAUACCGGAUAGGAAUCCUUGCUGCAUGGUGGGGGUUGGAAAGCUUCGGCGGUUUUGGAUGGACUCGCGGCUUAUCAGCUUGUUGGUGGGGUAGUGGCUUACCAAGGCUUUGACGGGUAGCCGGCCUGAGAGGGCGACCGGCCACAUUGGGACUGAGAUACGGCCCAGACUCCUACGGGAGGCAGCAGGGGGGAAUAUUGCACAAUGGGCGGAAGCCUGAUGCAGCAACGCCGCGGGCGGGAGGACGGCCUUCGGGCUGUAAACCGCUUUCAGCAGGGGCGAAGCUUGUGGUGACGGUACCUGCAGAAGAAGCACCGGCUAACUACGUG